CGAUGAACCGCUUUCGGGCGGGGAUUAGUGGCGAACGGGUGAGUAACACGUGGGCAAUCUGCCCUGCACUCUGGGACAAGCCCUGGAAACGGGGUCUAAUACCGGAUAUGACUGUCCAUCGCAUGGUGGAUGGUGUAAAGCUCCGGCGGUGCAGGAUGAGCCCGCGGCCUAUCAGCUUGUUGGUGAGGUAGUGGCUCACCAAGGCGACGACGGGUAGCCGGCCUGAGAGGGCGACCGGCCACACUGGGACUGAGACACGGCCCAGACUCCUACGGGAGGCAGCAGUGGGGAAUAUUGCACAAUGGGCGAAAGCCUGAUGCAGCGACGCCGCGUGAGGGAUGACGGCCUUCGGGUUGUAAACCUCUUUCAGCAGGGAAGAAGCGAAAGUGACGGUACCUGCAGAAGAAGCGCCGGCUAACUACGUGCCAGCAGCCGCGGUAAUACGUAGGGCGCAAGCGUUGUCCGGAAUUAUUGGGCGUAAAGAGCUCGUAGGCGGCUUGUCACGUCGGUUGUGAAAGCCCGGGGCUUAACCCCGGGUCUGCAGUCGAUACGGGCAGGCUAGAGUUCGGUAGGGGAGAUCGGAAUUCCUGGUGUAGCGGUGAAAUGCGCAGAUAUCAGGAGGAACACCGGUGGCGAAGGCGGAUCUCUGGGCCGAUACUGACGCUGAGGAGCGAAAGCGUGGGGAGCGAACAGGAUUAGAUACCCUGGUAGUCCACGCCGUAAACGGUGGGCACUAGGUGUGGGCAACAUUCCACGUUGUCCGUGCCGCAGCUAACGCAUUAAGUGCCCCGCCUGGGGAGUACGGCCGCAAGGCUAAAACUCAAGGAAUUGACGGGGGCCCGCACAAGCGGCGGAGCAUGUGGCUUA
rnacentral:rRNA from 1 species